GGAACUGUGCCUGAAAUUAAGGACCACUUUGAUAGAGUGUAUUAUGGAGGUUAAAGUCCUCCCAGAUCCU
rnacentral:tRNA from 1 species